UGGGGGAUCGUCUAGCGGUAGGACAGCGGACUCUGACUCCGUUAACCUAGGUUCGAAUCCUAGUCCCCCAGCCA
rnacentral:tRNA from 2 species